rnacentral:rRNA from 1 species
UACGUAGGGACCAAGCGUUGUUCGGAUUUACUGGGCGUAAAGGGCGCGUAGGCGGCAUGACAAGUCACUUGUGAAAUCUCCGGGCUUAACUCGGAACGGUCAAGUGAUACUGUCGCGCUAGAGUGCGGAAGGGGCAAUCAGAAUUCUUGGUGUAGCGGUGAAAUGCGUAGAUAUCAGGAGGAACACCGGUGGCGAAGGCGGGUCUCUGGGCAGUAACUGACGCUGAGGAGCGAAAGCGUGGGGAGCGAACAGG